GACGAACGCUGGCGGCGUGCUUAACACAUGCAAGUCGAACGAAGUGGCGAACGGGUGAGUAACGCGUAAUCAACCUGCCCUUCAGAGGGGGACAACAGUUGGAAACGACUGCUAAUACCGCAUACUGAAGGAGGGGAUUGCGUCUGUUUAGCUGGUUGGAGGGGUAACGGCCCACCAAGGCGGUGAUCAUUAGCCGGUAUGUGAGUAGGAUCGGCCACAGUGUGACUGAGACCCGUCCCAGACUCCUACGGGAGGUAGCAGUGUGGACUCUUACGCAAUGGACGAAAGUCUGACGGGGCAACACCGCGUGAGUGAUGACAGCCUUCGGGUUAUAGAGCUCUGUUAAUCGGGACGCGGUACCGGAAUAGAAAGCCACGGCUAUCUCCGUGCCAGCCGCCGCGGUAAUUC
rnacentral:rRNA from 1 species